GCGGGUGUGGCGGAACUGGCAGACGCGCAGGACUUAGGAUCCUGUGGGGAUAACCCGUGAGGGUUCGACUCCCUCCACCCGCACCA
rnacentral:tRNA from 1 species